rnacentral:misc_RNA from 1 species
UCAUUGUUAAACUGCUCAUUAACUGCUUUCAAACUGCCUGAAAUCGUCAUUUUUCAAAUCAUCCUUUACAUCUUUUCAAAUACAUCUUUUCAAAUUUACAUCAUUUUAAAUGGGGGCUUGAAUUGGAAAGCCAAUUCAGAAAUAGUCUUUCAAACAUAAUUCAUAAUUUCAUUAAACCUGUAUUGAUAGUUCAGAAAUCAUAGCGGUUUCUAAACUGUAGCCAACUCUAACUGACUGGCAGGGUGCAGAGUUGAAUGAAAAAUGGAAACAAGUCUAAUAAAUUACAAGGCAAGAGCCCAAAGCCGGCCCAACAGAAAAGAAACAGCCUACCAUACCCAAACCUAAACAUAGAACCCAUAAGCCAAUAAAAGUGAAACCGUACCUAGAAGGCGGGCCCUAAUCUUUCUAUGCUUCGGCAACACCAGCAUUGACAACGCCGCCGUUCUUGUGGAUGGAAAAUGCCCGGCGAAAAUAGGAGAGGAGUCUCCUUAGCUGAUACCAUAUCCAAGGAAUAAGCCUAUACUAGGCGAAAGAAGGAAGAUCCUCAGCCUAAACAUUCCGCCAGACCCAUAAGGGGUAGACUGCUACGAUUCAAGAAAGAAGAAGGUAGAAGAACGGUAUAGCCAAGGAGGCAGCCGCAUGCAGUUAACUAUUACACCUUGGAGAGGUCAUUUUCCCAUCAUACACAAACUCUCCCUCCCACAAGGUCAAGAAAAACAACCAUAAAACCAUAAGCAAAGUAACGUAGACCACAAGAAAAUCCUCUCCUAAACUCAGCCGGUCUACACAACCAAAAUUUAGAAGUGAUCUACAAUCCAACCCUACCCCAUAAGAGAACCCACUCACCAGGCUAGGGAAGGAUGACUUUUCUUUCCCCGGAGGGACAAAGGAAGGCCGCUGAUGCUGCAGAGUAAGGAGAGAUUUCAAACCAUAUGCUCUAUUUGAAUGAGGGUGAG